UACAGAGGAGCCAAGCGUUGUCCGGAUUGACUGGGCGUAAAGCGCACGCAGGCGGCAGCGCGCGUGGGGUGUGAAAUCUGGCCGCUUAACGGCCAGGCGCCAUCCCAUACGGCGCAGCUGGAGUGAUGCAGAGGUCGAUGGAAUUGCCGGUGUAGUGGUGAAAUGCGUAGAGAUGUGGAGGAACACCAGUGGCGAAGGCGACUUUCUGGGCUGUAACUGACGCUGAGGCGGCGAAAAGCGU
rnacentral:rRNA from 1 species